rnacentral:misc_RNA from 1 species
GGAAGAAGCAGAAGAUAGAUUCUAAUGCUAUGUUUGCUAGGAUGUAAUUUAAUUGUAUUACAGUCUACCAAACAGAGCCUAAGUUCAGUGAGUAUUUAAUUGGCUUGUUAAGCUUCAAGGGAAAUAAGCUGUUGGAUAUUUCUUGUGGUGUUGGUCUAGCAUAUUCACUUUGAAAUGUCUGAAAAGGGAUUUGGGAUUGGAUUACAUUUAUACCUUUAAAGGGUGGAAGGGUUACUGUCGAUUGUGUAACCUUGCCAAUAGACCCUGAGAAAGGAAAACAAAACAUGGAGGCAGUAUACUAAAAGGAUUUCAUCUUUUCUUUUGUGGAGUUAUAUGAUGCCAUGUGUUUACAAUAGAAAAACAAGUUUAUUCAUGUGUUAUUCUUUAGAGCUGGGCUAGCUGGCUAGGAAAGG